CCCUCCCCUACUUGUGCUCUUUACUCUCUCUCAAAAAUAAAUAAACAUUUAAAAAAGUUUUUAAAUAUAAAAAACAUUUGUACCUCGUAGACUUUACAAAAGCAGGUGUGGGCAGGAUUUGGCUAGCAGGCUAGAAUUUGCAGACCCCGGCUCUAGAUCUAACACAUUUGUGUGGUUCUCUCCCAUGAACAGCAAGGAGCUGCAACCAUAUGGGCUGCAAAGAGGAAUUUAACCUGAAGUAGGGCUGUGAGUUUGCAGCUCUUGCCAGGAGGAUUUCAGAAAUCUGGAGGAUGAUUCUAACAGGGGUUGAGAGGCAUGGACCCAUUUCCCUGGGAAAGAGCUGUGCUCUGUUAGAAUGAGACUAAUCUGUGGGACUACCCCAGCUGGCCAUUGAUCUGACUGGGACAUCCCUGUCCACCUCCCCCUGAGUGAUAUGUGACCUCACCUUUAUAUAUCGCUCAGGAAACACUUGAA